rnacentral:other from 1 species
GAGUAUCUGGCUCAGUCGAUUGUUUUUCGAUCGAUACUUUUUAAAGAUAGGGAUCAAUAAUUUAUCGCCGGUGUGCAAGCUUGUUACACACAAGAAGCCUAAAGUCGAUAUGUUUAAUCCCACCUGCAUCCCAAGGAUCAGGAAAGCUAGCUGGGUCAGAUAUUUU